rnacentral:snRNA from 1 species
AUCGCUUCUCGGCCUUUUGGCUAAGAUCAAGUGUAGUAUAUGAGUGAUAAUUGAGCACAGAAAAAGAUGCUCAACGUCC